rnacentral:rRNA from 1 species
UACGGAGGAUGCAAGCGUUAUCCGGAAUUAUUGGGCGUAAAGCGUCCGUAGGCGGCAAUGUAAGUCUGCUGUCAAAGCGUCUGGCUCAACCAGAUAAAGGCAGUGGAAACUACAUAGCUAGAGUAAGGUAGGGGUAGAGGGAAUUCCUGGUGUAGCGGUGAAAUGCGUAGAGAUCAGGAAGAACACCGGUGGCGAAAGCGCUCUGCUGGACCUUAACUGACACUGAGGGACGAAAGCUAGGGGAGCGAAUGGG